UGGGUGUUGGAAUUUAUUUAUUUAUUUAAAAAUGGCAGCGUACAAGAAAAUUGUUACAUAAAAUUAUCACAUCGUGAAAUAGGCAACCACUCACUGAAUUUCAUACUUCUCCAAAUGUCGGGACGCCAUUUCUGUACUUUUAGUGAAAGCAUGUCUAGAAAUCGAUACUUUGCAUGAAGACAUUUUAAAACCUGUACUUCAAUGUGGAUUCCCUCCCAAAAAUAAAUAAGUAAAGCAGAAGCUAUUCCCACCGAUUUCAGUGAGGAUUUCUCCCAGUUAAGGGAGUAUAGGGUCCCAGCUGUAGUCCUAUACUGCUUUGUUCCUGCACAGAGUUCCAUUAGCCCUGCCUUCCCCCAGAUUUUAUCAUCAGACUGCAUUGAAUUGCAAGGGGUAGCCUUGUACAUAAUUAUCUGGAAGAUGCUCUAUAGUGCAAGCUUUUGCAUUUUUACUGAGAAUUAAGUCCCAUUGUUUCCAGUGGAAAUUAUUCCUAGGGAAAUUAGGCAGAAUUGCACCCCUAUUGGGGAGAUUUCAGCCAGCAGGUAAAAAAACUCGUUUGUUUCUUACAUCAUCUGUGCUGACUUCCUAAGGUAAAAGCACAUUAUUUACACAAACCUAUCCCUCAAAGAACUUUGGAAAUUGUAAUUUGGUGAGGGUGCUGAGACUCUCCAGUUAAAAAUCAUUCACUCCCCACAAAAAAGAAUUCCAGAUUCCCUAGGGAGACAGGAUGGUUGUUGAAACCACUCCAAGGCUGAAAACCUUUGCAUUCUUAUCUAGGAAGAAACCCCACUGGAGACAUAAGAUUCACUUCUGAGUACAUAGCCAUAGGAUUGUGCUGCACAUUUAAGCUCUGGCAGGCCCUGGAUGGUUCUGCAAGUUUAGAAAACUCUCGGCAUGCGUUUCAAGUGGGCACUGCACAGAUUGUGAGUCACCAUAGCAAAUGCAAUAUAUAUAGUGACCUGACAGGUGAUUGGCAGCCCCCCUCAGCUCCAGGCAGGCAAUAUAAGCAGCAAAGGGGAGGGGAGUUAGUUUAGUGGAUUGUGUUUGGCUCGGUUGGCCACAGGUUGUGCAAGCCUUGAUUUAAGGCCUGUGACUUCAGACAACCAUUCAUCAACUGGAAACUUACUACAGCGUUCCGUGCAAAGCUAUUUGGCCAGUCUGUCCAUGUUUAGCCUUCUGCCAAGGGGUGAGCAGAAUGUCCCCCCCCCCCCACCGACACACCUUUCCACCUGCUCAAAAAGCUGGAAGAACAGAGGGAGGGGAGGAAUAUUCUCUUCCCACUUGGCAGGGCAUUGCACUAUAAUAAAGAAGAGCAACAAAGAAUCUUGUGGCAUCUAAAAGAUUUUUAAUGGAUUUUUUAUCACACGGUAUGUGUUCAUUGGCUUACCAAUGGCCGCCUAUGUUACUAAUUACUGGGUCUUUUUGUGAAUGGUCACUGCUAGUAAGACAGUUACCAUCGUCUGAAUUAUUCUGUAUUGCAUUUGCUUUUGACAUCGCUGUUCACAAGGCAUCCCCAACCCAACACUCAACCAUGUAUAUACGUACCUGCAAUGCAGGAUAAUACUUUCUAAAUCUGACGAAAUGGACUGUAAUCCACAACAACUUGUACUGUAAUAAAUUUGUUAGUUUCUGCAAUACCUACUUUGUAGCUUCUUGCUGCAAAAGACUCGCACAACUACCCCUUAUGGAAAUUGAAAUAAGCAAGUUUUCUUUGGGAAUUUGGAUUCUCUCGUUACUCACUUUUAAAAUGGGACAUGUGUGAAUUCGCUACAGCCAAGAGCAUUACAUAUCUGUAUUUUAAAUACAGGACCAAAACAAGGGAGAAGACAUGUCAUAAGGUUGUUACCUUUCAUACAAUGUUCAUGCAUUUGCUCAAGGUAUUGUUAUUGUUUAAACUAUGCAAUUGUGAUAGAAAAUAAACAGACAAGAAUAAAAUAUAAAGUUUUUAGCACGAGAAACCAGCAGCAAAACAUUUAUUUGGUUCUAACAUACAUCCUAAAUAUUCUGUCCCAAUCAUUAGUGGAGUUUAGCGUCUUACAACACAAACACAUUUUUAAAAGGUUUCCCCACAGUUGUUGUUUUUCGGACAGGCCAGCCAAUUAACCUAAGGUUGCCAUUCAAAGGGUGCUUACCUAGAAGCACUACGCAGAAAUCAGUGGGGCUUACUCCUGUGUCAACAUGGUUAGGGCUCAGCUAUUAAUGAUUAAGCAGCUGUGAUCUCCUGUACACUAAUCCUGCACUGGCUUCGGUGUCAAUCUGGAGCAAACCAUCAGGUCAUCAUCGGAGGGCAGCUUAAAUAAACUUAGCAGCUCCGAGAACGCAGGAUUCCAGUCCUAUGGAAUGUUCUCAGGCAAGUGCCCUGGGAGACUUUUGACACGCACUUACCCUGAAGCAGUUCCACUGAAACCGGCUGACGUACAAGAAACUGUUCUAGGGUAAGUAGCGUUUGAGGCUGUAGUCCUCAAAUUCCUUCCUUCCAAAGGAGGUCUUAGUGACUUUUGCCAUGGAGGCAACUGGGAGGGGAGGAGCAGGUGUCAUCAUUCUGCAAACGCAAAAUGAUUUAUCUGCUUUUAUUUUGGCAGCCAUUGAACCAAUCUGUUGGCACACACAAAGGUGCGUGUGGGAACUGGUCCUAUACGCCCAGGCGAACACACCUUCCUUUCGAUAUAGACCGGAAUUACCUGUGGGACUUGACGGCUUGCUCACCGACUCUGCACCAGCCCAAAUUGUUCCAACAGGACUUUUUGUCCUCAUCUCGUCUCUCCCUCCCCCCUCCCAAUCUCGCACUCUUUCUAUUUCUCACCCAUUUGACAACAACCUGUCACAACUGUUAACUUACUAACCAGCGGAAUUAUUCUCAUAGAGUGUCUUACACCUAUCCUACUCCAUAUUAUAGAACUGACAUCCAUGAGGGCUAGAAACUUAUUUUUAAAAACACCCUUAAAGCUGAUUUUCAAUCCCUGAGUGCAGCAUGAUUCGCUUCCUAUUAAAUCUGAAAGGAAAGCCCAGUUUCUUUGCUUGUUCGCUUACUCCACUGAUUACAAAUUUUGAGGGAUGGGUUAAAAGAAAACCAAACCCCGUCCUGAAUUUCUCCUCUCUAGGGCAGCUUCGCCACGUUCAGUGGGAUGCCUUUGCCGGUGGCUGUCGGAUGGUGUCCUUUCCCCGGUCGGUGUGUCCCCCUCCCUCGAAAUGAAACUCUUCCCCCCGUGAUUGCAGCCUGAAGUCCACAGAGCAAGUUCCUCCUCCUCCUCCUCCUUUUCCAGCUGGCGAUGCUCAGGCCGCCCGGGUCAAGUGGUCCUAAACAUUUCACAAUUAUGCUACAGAACUGUUGAACUGUUAAGAACCACUGCACCCAGCAGGCUUAGAUAUCAUUUGGAGAGGAGGGGUGGUCGGGAGGAGUCGUCUGGUGUCCCCACCCGCCUGCUGCAUCUCCGGAGACCUGCUUAAGCCGGACAAAACAAAAGCGAGAGAAAAAGACAACAAAGUCAAAAGAGGGGGGAGAGAAAGCACAGACAGGCCAAAGACAAAUCCCCUUUGAUCUCACCCUCCUACCCCCUCCCCAAGCUUGUUGCGCGGUUUGCAGACAAAACCACUUACGAGGUGUCCAAGCAGAUCCUUGGAAAGGGGGAGGAAAUAAAAUCUCUGCGCCCAAUUCCUGCGUAAUUAGGAAGGGCUGGAGAGGCAAGAGGAGCGUGCGGGGGUUCCAGCUUGGAUGCAAACUGAGCACCUUAAAUGCCAUUAUCCUCAUGGGACACUAAAGCGGAGCUGGAGCCACGAGGUGCCAGGAAAGCAAAAGUUUUUGUCUGUGUGCCUGUGUGUGUGUGUGUGGCCAGUGCUGUCUUCUCGCUCGCCGCCGACUCCCGGUGGAGGCAGGUAGAAAGGUAGGCAGGUAGGCACAUAGCAGCAGCAGCGUCUCCGUCCCGAUCUGCGCUCAGGCACCUCUACCUGCCCCGCCUUAUAUACCUGCCCCACUCCUUCGCCGUCCCCUGCAGCAGAAGUCAAGAAUGCGGCCCUCGCCCCUGCCACGACCUGUUUUUCCAGGCGGCCUUUGCAACGACAGCAAGCCAAGUGGGUGGGUUGGUUGGGCGAUGAUGUCGGCGCGAGGCUCCUUUCUUUCCUUUUUGUUGUUGUUCUCCCAAAGCGAUCAUCAUCUGGGGCGGUGUAAACGUCAGCAGCGAGAGAGAGAGAAAGAAAAGAGGGAGAGUCAAACCUGUUCUGCGCUGCGCGUUUCUGCAGCCGCCACCGCCUCCUCCCCAGCUGCUGCCAGGUGCGCGCUGAAAAGUUUUGUCACCGGGCGGGGAGCAACUGCUCAACAGGUUUGGCAGAAGCCGAGGGUGGCUCCUUAAAGCAUAAGGAGGGGAGAGGGGGAAAGGUGAGUUUUUUUAAAAGGGGAGACUCCACCCUGGACUUUCCCCGCGCACGUUCCCCUUGCCAGGAAGAAGCUAAAGCGAGAGUGCGGGUCUCCAGGUAGCCAAAACGGCGCCGUGACGCCCACAUAAGGGAGGUAGCUAUCAGAAAGCCUGGGAGAACCUAAGGUUUGCAGCAGGACAAAAACAAACUAUGUUGUUCUUGAUUAGUCGUUUAGUCGUGUCCGACUCUUCGUGACCCCAUGGACCAGAGCACGCCAGGCACUCCUGUCUUCCACUGCCUCCCGCAGUUUGGUCAAACUCCUGCUGCUAGCUUCAAGAACACUGUCCAACCAUCUCGUCCUUUGUCAUCCCCUUCUCCUUGUGCCCUCCAUCUUUCUCAACAUCAGGGUCUUUUCCAGGGAGUCUUCUCUUCUCAUGAGGUGGACAAAGUAUUGGUGUCUCAGCUUCAGGAUCUGUCUUCCAGUGAGCUCUCAGGGCUGAUUUCCUUCAGAUUGGAUAGGUUUGAUCUUCUUGCAGUCCAUGGGGCUCUCAAGAGUCUCCUCCAGCACCAUAAUUCAAAAGCAUCAAUUCUUCGGCGAUCAGCCUUCUUUAUGGUCCAGCUCUCACUUCCAUACAUCACUCCUGGGAAAACCAUAGCUUUAACUAUACGGACCUUUGUUGGCAAAAAUAAACUAUAGAGAUUGUAAUGGGGUGCCCAAAAACAGGGCAGUUAUGAUUGGACAAGCUUGGUGGGCUCUGCCUGGUGGUUGUUGGGUGGCAGGGAGGUGCAAUGCAAUAGAGCAUAGCUGGCUAGCUGUCAGUCAACCUAAGUAGGGACAUAACAGAAGAAGAGGCUUGGAUCAGGCCAGUGGGUCACCUUCUCGUCCAGCAUCCCAUUCUCACAGUGGCCAACUAGAAGCCUCUUGGGAACCCUGCAAGCACAACAGCACUUGCGAUUCCCCACAGCUGGUGCUCAGAGCCACACUGCCUUCAACAGUAGAAGGAGAACAUAACCAGAACGCAUUCUGCGCUGCAACAUUCCAUGUUGCAGCAUCUUGCUGCAGGCCCCAUUUGCUAUACAGUGGUACCUCGGGUUACAUACGCUUCAGGUUACAGACUCCGCUAACCCAGAAAAAGUGCUUCAGGUUAAGAACUUUGCUUCAGGAUGAGAACAGAAAUCGUGCUCCAGCGGCGUGGCAGCAGUGGGAGGCCGCAUUAGCUAAAGUGGUGCUUCAGGUUAAGAACAGUAUCAGGUUAAGCACGGACCUCCGGAACUAAUUAAGUACUUAACCCGAGGUACCACUGUACAAUAAGCCACGCUCGAAAGGAGUCUGAGGUGCAUUUGAUACCCAGAACCAUUUCCCCGCUACCCACAACUGCACUCGCAAUAUCUCCUGCGGUACUAGUGGCUCCCCUCCCACAUCUCCUUCCAGUUUUAUUUAAAUUGAACUAUAUUUAUUAUUGCACUUGUAUUUUGCUCCAAGGAGCUCAAGGGAAUGCACAUGAUUUUGGCCACUUCCCGUUUAAUCCUCAAAACAACCCUUUGAGGUAGGUUGGAUUGAGAGACGGCAGCUGGUCCGGUGGACAUGAGAGAAAAUGAAACAGUUUUGGGAACAGAUUUAUAACAAAUUGAAAAAGAUAUUUAAAUACACUUUCCCGAAAAAGCCGGAAGCUUUCUUGCUAGGCUUGAUGGGGGAGGAAAUAGAAAAGGCAGGUCAAAGGUUAUUUAUGUAUGCUACGACUGCUGCCAGAACUUUGUUAGCCCAAAAAUGGAAAGUACCAGAAUUACCAACAAUAGAGGAGCGGCAGACGAAGAUGGUUGAAUAUGAGGAACUAGCAAAACUGACCUGUAGAAUCCGAAAUGAGGAGGAAGCAAUAUUCCAAAAAGAUUGGAGUAAAUUUAUGGAGUGCAUAAAUAAUAACUGUAGAAAUUUGAAGACUCUGGCAGGACGGAAAUAAACCUUAUGAUGUAGAUAGGAUUGGAUACAAUAAGAAACUGUGGAAAAGCAACUGACGUAAGAAAACCUGUUGAAGGGAGGGAAGGAAGCCAAUGCUCAGCAGAGUGUGGGGAAAGAAUGUGGGGCAAUGAUUGUUGAAUUUUACUGUAUUUUGUUUGUAUUAAAUGAAACACCAAUAAAAGCAUUUAUUAAAAGAGAGAGAGAGAGAUGGCAGCUGGUCCAAAGUCACCCAGUGAGUUUCAUGCUGAGCAGAAACCUGCAUCCUAGUCUCCCAGGCUCAGAGCAGCCUUCCCACCCCAAAGUCCCCUUUUUCCAGCGCUUGGACUAUCCAAGGGCACCCUGCUCUCCCCGCCUCCUCCAAGGCAAACCAUCCGUGUUCUGCAUCCUCCCCAAAUGCAUUUGUCUGGUGUCCUUGAACCACGGUAACUGGUUUUACUGGAUGGAGGGUGUGUGUGAAUGUGUAGGUGUAAGAACAUCUGGAACAUAGACUACAGGACAAAAGUAAUAGUCAUGCAGAUCAGUCCACCCACCUUUGCCUCUGGCCACACCACCAACUGGCCUGUGGCUCCCAGGAAGCUGCCCACAAGGGAACACAGUCUUCAGAUGCCCCCCAUCCCGGCAUUAAACAGAGUUAUGGAGGACUGAAUCACAUGUGUAUGUAAUAGCAUAAUAAGAGUCCUGCUGGAUCAGGCGGGUGUCUCAGCUAGUCCAGCAUCCUGUUUUCGCAGUGGCCAGACAGGUGCCUCUGGGAAGCCUAUGGGCCAGACUCUCCACCUUCCAUGGUUUUCAGCAACUGGUAUCCAGAGGCAUAUUUUAUGUACAGUUUCUGGUGUCUCAUCACAACCCCUUUGCUCACCAGCUGAGGCCCAUUCACACACAUGUUUGCUCAACAUGCAAGCAGUUUUUGGAGUGCAAACUGGACCAGGGAUAAUUCAUGCAAGUGGUGGAGGCAGUGGGAUUGUGGCAGCAGGCAGGUUGCACCGUGACACACUACACAUGUCUAUAGAGCAUCUGAAUUGAACGAAGCCACGUAAAAGUGUACACAGAGAAAGAGAGACUUAUUCAUUGUUGUUUACUGCCGGUGUUACCGAUGAACCCAAAGCUUCUUAACAUCAAAAUGGAUUGAGAACAUCCGGUAAAAACCUAAAAACACAGCUAAACAGAUAAAAGGCAGACCUACAGACCCUACCCCACUAAAAGAAGCCACAAUGCCACCCUUCAAAUUGUUGUUGUUGUUUAUUGUGGCGCUGUGGGUUAAACCACAGAGCCUAGGGCUUGCCAAGCAGAAGGUCGGCGGUUCGAAUCCCCGUGAUGGGAUGAGCUCCCAUUGCUCGGUCACAGCUCCUGCCAACCUAGCAGCUCGAAUGCACAUCAAAGUGCAAGUAGAUAAAUAGGUACCGCUCCAGUGGGAAGGUAAACGGUGUUUCCGUGCGCUGCUCUGGUUUGCCAGAAGCGGGUUAGUCAUGCUGGUCACAUGACCCAGAAGCUGUACGCCGGCUCCGUCGGCCAAUAAAGCGAGAUGAGCGCCGCAACCCCAGAGUUGGUCACGACUGGACCUAAUGGUCAGGGGUCCCUUUACCUUUACCUUUAUACUGCCCUGCAUUCGAAGACCUUGGGGCAGUUCACAAGAUAAAAAUACAGGAUAGAAGCACAAAAUAAAUAGUUAAAUCAAGGGCCAAAGCCCAGGGGGUUUGCUAUUCCCAGUGUUGAAGAGAGGAUUAAACAACCAAUUGCCUGCAUCUCAUAGGAAUUCAGUAAGACCAUAAGUCUACAUAGGUCCACCUAGCUCUACAUUGUCUACAAUGGCAGGCAAUGGUCCUCCAAGGUUUCAGGCAGGAAUCUUUCUCAAUCAUACCUGGAGAAGCUGAGGACAGAACUUGGGGCCUUUUGCAAUACAGAGCAGGCAUUCUGCCACUGAGCUGUGUAUCCCAUCUCAGUUCACGUGGAGAUGAGUAAGCAGGUGAAACAAAGUUCCUGGGCAUCCAGCCUUCCUUCAGUUCAAAAGGCAGCCAAUGUUAAAAAUGAGUCGAUGAGCAGGGAUAUAGAUUGUUGUCAUGGGCUUAGCCAAGGGGGGCCAGCAGGCGCAGCUCCCCCUGCUAAAUCAAUAAAAAUAACUAAGGUUCUGCUCCCCCUAACAAAAGUCCUGGCUACACCCAUGAUUGCUGUGCAUGUAAUUUGCUGGGUGUAAACACACAGACGUGAAUGAUUAUCAGUUGUGAAAAACUACCUUUGGGGUUUUUGCUUUUUUCCUGCACAUAAUAAUCAUUCCACUUGGAGACUGUAUAAUAUAUCUCUAGGAUACUUCACCGAUUUUUAAGUACUGGUGGCAUGGGGUUUUGAAUCGCAAUGACCAGUUCAGAAUAGGGCUACCUUGAAAUGACUGCUUCCUUCCUUCCUUCCUUCCUUCCUUCCUUCCUUCCUUCCUUCCUUCCUUCCUUCCUUCCUUUUAAUGUAUAUGGUUAGUUGUUGGCAUCUGUCUGUCUCAGGAGACCAUGGAGGAAUGCACCUUUGGGGGUGAGCUCAAGCUGUUGCAGAAUUGCAGCAUCUGCUGUGGCUGUAGAGACCAACACAGAAGAGACAUGUUUUGUUGCAGCUGGGGCAGGUGAAGGCAUCCGGUUGUGCUGCUGCAGACUCACCAUGGCGUUUCUCCUCUCUGGGCUCCUCCCAGUGCUCAUUCCUCCUCUGGUCACUGCUGUGGAUGCACAACCUGAUUGUCUGUCUCCAGGCACUGCAGUCACCUGCAAAGGAUUCCUAUGUGGCGGGCUUGACGUUGCCAGCCUUCAUGUCACAUAGAGCAUGUCUUUGGGGAUCCUGCCAUCUUCCGCUCUGUGGACAUGGCCAAGCCAGCACAGUCACUGAGACAGGAAUGUAUAUACCAUGCUGUAAACACAACUUCUUGGGCAGUUAACCUAAAGAUUACACAGGAUGGCCUGUUGUGAUCUUUAGCAAAUCUUUCAGCAGAGUUUCAGAUACCCUGCAGCAUAUUUUCUGGGCCCUGGAACAGUUGCUACAGAGAUUGGUGUGCUGCAGAUAGGCAGUAGCAAGAAAAACGCAUGACAUGUCCCAGGGAAUUGCCCCCUGUAGGAAAUUCUCUGUAGGGAAACAGUAUCGGGUGAUGAGUAAUGGCUUUUCCCAAAGCCUUUGCUAAUCCUGUAAGCAAGCAUACCUUGACUAACUGGCCUGUUUCCUAAACCCUGAGCAAUGAGACUGCUUUGACUAUUUCCCCCACCCACCCACCCCGCUGGCCUCCUUCCAGUUCUGAGGAGACUCUGCCUAUCAUAGCUCUCCAACCUAAACAAGACUCCCAGUCGCAUGACAUCUGCAUAGAUACAUAGGGAGGGAGAAGCAUGUUCCCAAUCUAGACGAAUUCCUGUGGACCUGUGAGGAGAGACUGUAGCUUAUUCGCAUCUUUCACAUGCAAAAAGUCCCAGAUUCGGUCACUGGCAUCUCCAGUCAAAAUGCACAACUAGGAGGUGGUGGGAAAAGGCCUUUCUCUCCCUGAGAUCCUACAAAGUUGUCAUUAGUCACAGUCAACAACACUGGGCAUCAAUGGACAAAAGUCACAAGGCAGGUUUCCAUGUUUCUAAGUUCUGCUCAAGUCAAGAGCCUGGCAAGAUUGUGCAAAGAUGGCCUAAGUGUAUAUCAAAUUUUCAUGUUAGCUCACCAUCUAAAACCCUUCGGUCCUGUUGGACCAGGCCGAAAGCCCAUCUAGUCUAGCAUCCUCUUCCCACAGUGGCCAACCAGUUGCCUAUGGGAGGUCUUGUGCUCCACAGCAACUGGUAUUCAAAGGCACACUGCCUUUGAAAGUAGAGGCAGAACAUGGCCAUUGUGAGUAGUAGCCACGGAGCUACACACACACACACACACACACACACACACACACACGGUCUUGUUCCCACUCAGUUACCUACAGCUCAAACCCAGUGAGCAUACAAGUGAAAGAUCUUUUUCUGUUAUUGGUACAGCGAAAGAAAAAGGAAAUAUUAACGGCGGCUUUUUCUGGUAACAACGCAUCUCAAAAGAGGCUCCUAUAUUGAAGCUUUAGAAAAUAUGCACAUUGUGUAAAAUUUAAGAACUAGUUGAUUAAUUACGUUAAAAAGCAGUGGUUUAUUCAAUCAAAAGUUCUUUUAAUCAGUCAAUUGUCCUACUGUUAGUCCUGAUCUGGAUGGAUGUGUGUAUUUGUCAACUAAUAGGCCAGAAGUGUCUGCGCUGAAAGCACCAAUUACCUGUUGAGUUGGGAAGAACAGCCAAGUUCAGUCCCCAAUCCUCUCUAACCAGUUAUCAGUCCUAGCAAAGAAAAGACACUAACUUUCUGUUUCAUCCCUGACUGGCAGGGACUUGUGGAUUCGGCCACUGCAAUCCACUAUCUUAUUGGAGGAAAGAAGUGCUGAUCUGCUCUCUUCUAUGCUGCAAUGCCACCACUACAGAUGGACAGUGGUGGUGUUGCAGCUGCCAAGCUACCCUUAGGGUUCCAACUGGCCCCAAGAAGCUGCUGACUUUGGCCUGGAGAUGCACAAUCACAACAUGCUGGGUUGCCCUGUCUCCAGACCACUAACAGAACCUCAACAGGUUGUUUACAUCUGGAUUUGCUAUAGGCUGCCAUNNNNNNNNNNNNNNNNNNNNNNNNNNNNNNNNNNNNNNNNNNNNNNNNNNNNNNNNNNNNNNNNNNNNNNNNNNNNNNNNNNNNNNNNNNNNNNNNNNNNUGCUAAACGCAUCUAACCAUUCGUGAUGCAAACAUGUCAUGCUUACUUUUGCCAGUAUAAUCCUUUUUGACAAGAGAGCAAUUAUUGCUGCUGAACAUUGGCAUUGUCAGUAACCUAUUUUUGUGCUCUUAAAUCCCUUUAUUAUAGCCUCCAACUUAGUUACAAAGUUGAGCUUCAACAAUAACUUCAGCAGCCCCAGUGGAGUACUGUAUAUAUUGUAAAUUGAUGUAAAUUGGUACCAUGGAAAGAGCUAGAUGCCUGAAAUCUACUUUUCCUAAUGCUGUGAACCUGCCCUAUUAUGAAGUCUAUUGGUUAGACAGGCUUUUUAGCAGAGGUAUUGAUUUGAUUUUUGUUGAGAGUAAGACUGUCCAGCAAUUAAAACAUAUUAAAAAGUUUUCAUAUACAGUGGUACCUCUGGUUACGUACUUAAUUCGUUCCGGAGGUCCGUUCUUAACCUGAAACUGUUCUUAACCUGAAGCACCACUUUAGCUAAUGGGGCCUCCCGCUGCUGCCACGCCACCGCUGCAUGAUUUUUUGUUCUCAUCCUGAAGCAAAGUUCUUAACCCGAGGUACUAUUUCUGGGUCAGCAGAGUCUGUAACCUGAAGCGUAUGUAACCUGAGGUACCACUAUACAUUCAUCUUCUCUGAAGCCUUAUUAGGCAGAUGGCACCAAUGUCUCCUGUCUCCCUUCUGUUUGCCAUCCCUUUAUAGUGAGUUGUGUACAUUUUCUUCUGCUAUAUGCAGUAAAAUCUAGUAAAGUAGAGCACUUGAGAGAGUCAGAUUUCACAUGGCAGUGGACGUUGAGUCUUUUCACCAACCCUUCCUUCUCCCAAAAUAGGGACAGGAAUCGAGUUGGUGUUGGAACUUCAACCAAACAAUUGUGUCAGUCCUGUACAUACCAAGUUCUAUUAUAAGAUCCCAACAGUUAAGGAAGGUAUCACAACACAUUGUGUUUCACCUCUUGACUGCUCCUUUGGAAAAUGCUCAAGGGUGUCAAGUGUUCCGAAGAUCAAUGCUCCUAAUUUAGCAAUGGCCCCAGCUAUUAAGAGCCAGCGUGGUGUAGUGGUUAAGAGCAGUAGUCUCGUAAUCUGGGGAACUGGGUUCGCAUCUCCGCUCCUCCACAUGCAGCUGCUGGGUGACCUUGGGCUAGUCACACUUCUCUGAAGUCUCUCAGCCCCACUCACCUCACAGAGUGUUUGUUGUGGGGGAGGAGGGGAAAGGAGAAUGUUAGCCGCUUUGAGACUCCUUAAAGGGAGUGAAAGGCGGGAUAUCAAAUCCAAACUCUUCUUCUUCUUCUUCUAUUAGGAAGAUGCUAGGAGGAACAGAAAUGUGCCAUCAAAACUAGCCUACAGCUCUUAGACACAGUGGAGAACGCUACCCUGUUGCAUUUGUCUAAAUAAGAACCAUGUGCCAGUUGAGUUGGCUCUUGUACAUGGAAUAGGAGGGCGGAAUUCCUUGUCCUUUGACCCAGAUGUCUUUUUCAUUGUGGUUUUUAAUUUUUUUAAUAAAAAAAUAAAUUUCACAAAACAUAUAUGCAUCUUAAAUUACAAAAGCAUUGGAAUAAACAGGCCCACUGCCCUGAUCCACCAAACUCUUCUUAUGUCUUUACGUACUUAUUCCAUGCAGGAAGAUUGCAGGUAGAACGGACACAUGUAGACUUUCAGGGCAAUGUGCUUGAUCCCAGUUCCCUAUAUUCUUUUUGCCUCUAUGCGUUCAGGCUCAAUUCCUGAAAAGGGUUGUAAGGUAACAAACCAAGAAGUCUCCUCUUUAGUUGGGUGCACAAGAGGAGGAAGGGGUGGGCUCCAUGGGGAGGAAGUAGGGCUCAAGCUGGAUUGAUUUUCGAUACCUACAUCUAAACCCAGCCACCAUGCUAGAAGCACACAGGGCAAACUAGUGAGCAGGCAAGAGCAAACCCAAGGCCUUACUUUUCUUGGCCAACUACACCUUCCCCUAGAAAUGGAGGAGAAAUCCAAUCCAGUAUGCCUUUAAAGCUGAAUCUAUCAAAUGUUCACCUUCCAAAACAGUAAGGUAAAGGUAAAGGGACCCCUGACCAUUAGGUCCAGUCGUGGCCGACUCUGGGGUUACGGUGCUCAUCUCGCUUUAUUGGCUGAGGGAGCUGGCGUACAGCUUCCGAGUCAUGUGGCCAACAUGACAAAACCGCUUCUGGCGAACCAGAGCAGCGCAUGGAAACGCCGUUUACCUUCCUGCCGGAGCGGUACCUAUUUAUCUACUUGCACUUUGACGUGCUUUCAAACGGCUAGGUUGGCAGGAGCAGGGACCGAGCAACGGGAGCUCAUCCCGUCAUGGGGAUUCGAACUGCCAACCUUCUGAUCAGCAAGUCCUAGGCUCUGUGGUUUAACGCAUGGCGCCACCCGCGUCCAAAACAGUAUGUGAACCCAAAUAGAGCUAUCUUUCAGAAUCUGUGCUUUUGCAAAACAGUUCUCCAGCCAGUGUUUACAAAAAUGUAUAAAUUUGGUGAAAGUGUGCAUAAAAAUGAAGAUAUUGGUGAACAUAACUUACAAAAAUGCAUAUAUUAGGGGGAAUUGCUUGCAGACCUGCAUAUAAAAAUGUGUUUUACGAGAAAGUUGCACCAAAAUGCUGGUUAACUUUCAUGAAGGGGUUUUUUAAAUUGCAAAUUGCUGCAAAAUGUGGGCAACUGAAAUUAAUAUUGGAAAAAUGAGUAAAAGAGAUUUAAAAAAUGACAUCUUCCUCCAUCCUUACCUUCCUGUGCCCGCGCCCCCCGCCACUGCCCCAAAUACCAUUUACUACUGGCAACAUUUUACAAUAAAAAUCAAUUUAUUGUGGGGACAGUGCCUCCAGUUUGAAAUCUGGCAUAGUCAAAAACCAUAGCUCAGAAGAUUAUGUCUACCCAGCUUUUAUUGGCAUAGCUCUCCUUUCUCACUAAUCCAGACUUCAACAAACCUGGUGCCCUCCAAUUGCCAUCAGUUCCAGACAGGCUGGUCUAAUCUUUCCAAACCCUACACAGGUAUCACUUUGCCAUUUAAGUUCCAGUGCUCAUGGCCAAGCAAGCUUUAAAUGCAUCACAAAGGGAAAAUGAAAAUGAAUCAUUUGGCGAUCUCCUGGAUUGCUUCCUUUGCAAGUUGCAACUCACCCCAGAAUUUUCUGCGUAGGACGGAUGGUGCAUUUUGCAAGACGUGUUUUGCAGAAUUAUCACACCAUGUCCACGGGCUUUGCCCAUUGGUUGCAGCAGAAGACUCUUCAUUUACCACACAUUAUCAUUGGCAGAAGCUGUGCCAAGCCACGGGCGGGCAAUGCAUCAUGUAGCAUCAUCAGAGUCGCUCAAGUUCCGUGGCUUGAACAGGCUUACUCAUCUUCUUGGAAUCAAUAAUGCCUUUUAAAACAACAUACUCAAGUUGGUAUUCGGCUCAUAAAUAUGCCUUGAAAGAUCUUCAGCAACCAGCCUGGGAAGAAGCUCUUUGACUAUAACAGCUUGUCCUGGAAUCACAGGUGCCACGUCAGGAGAAACAGCAGUUCCCAUCCCCAAUUCUCUUAUUCUAGGGCACAUAUGAUAAUUCCCCAGAAGCACUUCUGUUUUUGGCCAGCUCACUUAUUGUAUGCACUGGCUAUUGUUAUAAGCAAUUAAAUGAACCUACAUACCAAGUCCCUUUGAUUUUUAAAAAAUGUGGGGGGGGGUGGAUGUCUGAUCUAGGUUGGUAACAUUCUAUAGUUGUUGUGAAACUUCAAGAAGGCACAGUGAGAACUGCUUCCUGCAUCGUAUUCAGGCACAGCGAAUUAACUCUGCACUGUCUCCUUAAGGGCAUCACAACCUCCAGACUUUCCCCUUCUCUCUCUAGUUUUGGAGAUGCCCUGCUGAAGGCCUGUGUUUGGAACCCGGCCAGCAAAAUUGUAUAUAACCCUUGUGGAACAAACUGGUUAGCAGCCCUGAAUCCAGUUGUCCCUCUUUUGAAACACAUUGGCUGUGAUCCAACUGCCUCCGAAAACAACCCUGCUGAUCCUGUUGUUUGGAGGGGAAAGCAGGUGAACCAAAUCCAGUGGUCACCCUACUUUACCUCUUUGAAUAGCCAACCAGCUAAAUCCAAGCUUUUUAGAAACAUAUGCGCAUCCCUCCUGUUAGAUUGGGCUAUGGCUGUUAAUGCCCAUGUUCCACUGCCACCGUUGGAGGCAAUAAUUGCUUCUGAAUGUUUGGCUCUGCCCUCGCCUGUCUUGAAAGGAUCCUUUAAAAAAAGUCCCAUAUGACCAGAGAAUUUGCACCUGUCCAUUGGGGGAUAGAGGAAGCCCUGAACACAUAUUUUUUAGAUGUCCCUUUUACAAUCAGGCAUGUAGAGAACCCCUUGACCCCCUGCUGGAGAGGCUUGCUGACCUCCCAGUAAAGCAAAAAUUCGAUCUUCCAUUAGGCAAAGACCACAAGACGACCCAGAUUGUCGCCGGAUUCUGCGCACAGAUCUGUAGGCGCAGACCACCCCCCAAUUCAAUCUAGUUUGUUAAGAAAAUUCCCAAACCCGGAUCCACGGGCGACUUUGGGUCAUUUCUCUGAGGUAGUCUAUUUUAAAGUUUUUAUGUGUUUAUAUGCGAGAGCUGGACCAUAAAGAAGGCUGAUUGCUGAAGAAUUGAUGCUUUUGAAUUAUGGUGCUGGAGGAGACUCUUGAGAGUCCCAUGGACUGCAAGAAGAUCAAACCUAUCCAUUCUGAAGGAAAUCAGCCCUGAGUGCUCACUGGAAGGACAGAUGUGAGAGCCAGUGUGGUGUAGUGGUUAAGAGCGGUAGUCUCGUAAUCUGGGGAACCGGGUUCGCAUCUCUGCUCCUCCACAUGCAGCUGCUGGGUGACCUUGGGCCAGUCACACUUCUUUGAAGUCUCUCAGCCCCACUCACCUCACAGAGUGUUUGUUGUGGGGGAGGAAGGGAAAGGAGAAUGUUAGCCGCUUUGAGACUCCUGAAGGGGAGUGAAAGGUGGGAUAUCAAAUCCAAACUCUUCUUCUUCUUCAGAUCGUGAAGCUGAGGCUCCAAUACUUUGGCCACCUCAUGAGAAGAGAAGACCCCCUGGAAAAGGCCCUGAUGUUGGGAAAGAUGGAGGGCACAAGGAGAAGGGAACGACAGAGGACAAGAUGGUUGGACAGUGUUCUUGAAGCUACCAGCAUGAGUCUGACCAAACUGCGGGAGACAGUGGAAGACAGGAGUGCCUGGCGUGGUCUGGUCCAUGGGGUCACGAAGAGUCGGACACGACUAAACGACUAAACAACAACAAUGCCUAUUGCACUUUUAAACUUAAAAUCCAUUGUUGUAUAUUGUUUUAAAUGUUUGUUUUGCUAUUGGGAUUGUAGUUCCAUUUGUGUUUCUCAAGCUGGUCUCUGACCGUAAUAAAUUUCAUGCUCAUG
rnacentral:lncRNA from 1 species